rnacentral:rRNA from 1 species
ACACAUGCAAGUCGAGGCGGUUAGCCCAGAGAGCCUUGCCUCUUCGGGUUGCCUUUCGGCGAGACGGGUGAGUUAAUGUCUGGGAAACUGCCCCUGCAUGGAGGGGGGAUAACUACUGGAAACGGUAGCUAAUACCGCAUAACGUCGCAAGACCAAAGUGGGGGACCUUCGGGCCUCAUGCCAUCAGAUGUGCCCAGAUGGGAUUAGCUAGUAGGUGGGGUAACGGCUCACCUAGGCGACGAUCCCUAGCUGGUCUGAGAGGAUGACCAGCCACACUGGAACUGAGACACGGUCCAGACUCCUACGGGAGGCAGCAGUGGGGAAUAUUGCACAAUGGGCGCAAGCCUGAUGCAGCCAUGCCGCGUGUGUGAAGAAGGCCUUCGGGUUGUAAAGCACUUUCAGCGGGGAGGAAGGCGUAAGGUUAAUAACCUUGUCGAUUGACGUUACCCGCAGAAGAAGCACCGGCUAACUCCGUGCCAGCAGCCGCGGUAAUACGGAGGGUGCAAGCGUUAAUCGGAAUUACUGGGGCGUAAAGCGCACGCAGGCGGUCUGUCAAGUCGGAUGUGAAAUCCCCGGGCUCAACCUGGGAACUGCAUUCAAACUGGCAGGCUAGAGUCUUGUAAAGGGGGGUAGAAUUCCAGGUGUAGCGGUGAAAUGCGUAAAAAAUUGGAGUACCGGUGGCAAGGCGGCCCCCUGGACAAAAGACUGACGUCAGGGUGCGAAACCGUGGGGGAGCAACAGGAUUAGAUACCCUGUAGUCCACCCGUAAACGAUGUCGAUUUGGAGGUUGUGCCCUUGAGGCGUGGCUUCCGGAGCUAACGCGUUAAACUUUGACCGCCUGGGGAGUACGGCCGCAAAGGUUAAAACUCAAAUGAAUUGACGGGGGCCCGCACAAGCGGUGGAGCAUGUGGUUUAAUUCGAUGCAACGCGAAGAACCUUACCUGGUCUUGACAUCCACAGAACUUUCCAGAGAUGGAUUGGUGCCUUCGGGAACUGUGAGACAGGUGCUGCAUGGCUGUCGUCAGCUCGUGUUGUGAAAUGUUGGGUUAAGUCCCGCAACGAGCGCAACCCUUAUCCUUUGUUGCCAGCGGUUCGGCCGGGAACUCAAAGGAGACUGCCAGUGAUAAACUGGAGGAAGGUGGGGAUGACGUCAAGUCAUCAUGGCCCUUACGACCAGGGCUACACACGUGCUACAAUGGCAUAUACAAAGAGAAGCGACCUCGCGAGAGCAAGCGGACCUCAUAAAGUAUGUCGUAGUCCGGAUUGGAGUCUGCAACUCGACUCCAUGAAGUCGGAAUCGCUAGUAAUCGUAGAUCAGAAUGCUACGGUGAAAUACGUUCCCGGGGCCUUGUACACACCGCCCGUCACACCAUGGGGAGUGGGGUUGCAAAAAGAAGUAGGUAGCUUAACCUUCGGGGAGGGCGCUUACCAC